rnacentral:rRNA from 1 species
UACGUAGGGUGCGAGCGUUGUCCGGAAUUACUGGGCGUAAAGAGCUCGUAGGUGGUUUGUCGCGUCGUUCGUGAAAACCGGGGGCUUAACCCUCGGCGUGCGGGCGAUACGGGCAGACUGGAGUACUGCAGGGGAGACUGGAAUUCCUGGUGUAGCGGUGGAAUGCGCAGAUAUCAGGAGGAACACCGGUGGCGAAGGCGGGUCUCUGGGCAGUAACUGACGCUGAGGAGCGAAAGCGUGGGGAGCGAACAGG